AUCCAGGCAGACCAAGGGUCAGUAUUCACCAACUCAAUGACUUCCACAUUCUUACAAAAGUAUGGACUAAAGUUGAUACACAGUUCUGUUUAUCACGCUCAGUCAAAUAGUGUAGGGAGGUGGCAUUCUGUUACGAGCACAAGGAGGACUGGGAGAAUUGUCUUUCGGCUACUAUGUUUGCUUUGCGAAUGGUUCCUGAUGAGGCUACAGGGUUCUCACAAGCAGAACUAUUGUGUGAGAGGACACUCCGUUCCCCACUGAGAAUGUUGAGAGAUGUAGGAGGAAAGAGGAGAGAGUCAAACAGUGGUAGAGUAUGUGUUUAAUCUGAUGGAAUGGCCAAAUGCAACUCAAGAACUAGUUGAAAAGAACAUUGGCAUGGCACAAAAGAACGCCAAGCUCUAUUAUGACAGGAAUGCUAGGCUUCGAACGUUUAAUGCUGGGGACAGGCAAUGAUCCUCAGACCUUCAAGAAAGAACAAGCUUGAAGUUCACUGGGACGGACCUAUUAAAGUGUUGUACAAUCUUUCAGAUACUAUGCCCUGAAAGUGCCCGGUCACAGGAAGGAGGUGAGAAUGUACUACUGCAAUUUUAUCAAGCUGUACCUGGAGCAGAGCGGAGUCGUGAACUUUACCAUCAAAGAGCUGGACGACAUUUAUACAGUGUUUAAUGAGUGUACGACGACCUCCAACUCUGAAAUCAGCCUGGAAGAAGUUGUGGAACACUCGCCAUUCUCUUCCUGCCCAGUGGCCAGUCAAGAUUUUCGGGGCCAUGGAGAAGCUGUUACGAUUGGCCAGCAGGGGUAGUGAGCUUCUAACCUCUCCUAGCUCGCCGCGACAAAUCACUUGGUGAAGCCAACAAAUGUAAGGCUAGACAAGUUUUGCGGGCCGAGUAUUGUUAGCUGGUUCGCUGUCACCUUCACAGACCAAUUAGAGCAAGAAAACUCCUGGAAAACAGUUUCCUAUGGUGCUCCCCCACGAACUCUAGUAAUCGUCACUGUCGUUUGACACAUGCAGCAGUUAACUGCGGAGUCAACUCUGGAAUCAAGACUCACGAGCUUGAGUCAAGUAUGACAACCCCUGUCUACGAGGCCCCACUCCAUUCAGUGUGUUCACUGAAACGAAAGUGCGGGAGUGAGUGUGUGAACCUUUGCCCUCAAAGGCGGGUUCUCCGACGACUCUGAACGCUCCGAUUGGAUGAAGGUUGGACGGCAGGGAGGACAGAGGGAGGUUUUAAGCAGCUGUUUUUGCUCUUCGGUGUGCUUCAUCUUCAGUCAUGCUAGACCGAUGAAAUGUAACAUUCUUCACCUUUCAUGUAAAUAUUGUAAAUAAACGAAUUUCUCCUUGUUCUA